GCCAGGUGUGGUGGCACAUGCCUGUAAUCCCAGCAGCUAGCUUGGGAGGCUAAGGCAGGAGAAUUACGAGUUCAAAGCCAGCCUCAGCAAGGGUGAGAUGCUAAGCAACUCAGUGAGACCCUGUCUCUA
rnacentral:sRNA from 1 species